rnacentral:rRNA from 1 species
UCGGGAAUUUUGGGCAAUGGGCGAAAGCCUGACCCAGCAACGCCGCGUGAAGGAUGAAGUCUCUCGGGAUGUAAACUUCGUAAGAAUAGGAAGAAUAAAUGACGGUACUAUUUGUAAGGUCCGGCUAACUACGUGCCAGCAGCCGCGGUAAUACGUAGGGACCAAGCGUUGUUCGGAUUUACUGGGCGUAAAGGGCGCGUAGGCGGCGUGGUAAGUCACUUGUGAAAUCUCCGAGCUUAACUCGGAACGGUCAAGUGAUACUGCUGUGCUAGAGUACAGAAGGGGCAAUCGGAAUUCUUGGUGUAGCGGUGAAAUGCGUAGAUAUCAAGAGGAACACCUGAGGUGAAGACGGGUUGCUGGGCUGAUACUGACGCUGAGGCGCGAAAGCUAGGGUAGCAAACGGGAUUAGAUACCCAUGUAGUCCCUGAGCGGGCUGGCAAGGCGCAU